rnacentral:rRNA from 1 species
AGCGAACGUUAGCGGCGCGCCUAACACAUGCAAGUCGCACGAGAAACGGAGCAAUCCGCGGUACAGUGGCGCACGGGUGAGUAACACGUGGAUGACCUUCCCUGGAGUGGUGGAUAACCUGCCGAAAGGCGGGCUAAUACAGCAUGGGACCACGACGCUUUGGCGAUGUGGUGAAAGCGGGCCUCUAUAUAUAAGCUCGCGCUCCGGGACGGGUCCGCGUCCCAUCAGCUAGUUGGUGAGGUAACGGCUCACCAAGGCUUCGACGGGUAGCUGGUCUGAGAGGAUGGCCAGCCACACUGGAACUGGAACACGGGCCAGACUCCUACGGGAGGCAGCAGUGAGGAAUAUUGGGCAAUGGGCGAAAGCCUGACCCAGCCACGCCGCGUGAGUGAUGAAGGCCCUCGGGUCGUAAAGCUCUGUGGAGAGGGACGGAAAAACCUAGGGGUCGUAAUAGGCCCCGGACUUGACGGUACCUCUUUAGUCAAGCACCGGCUAACUACUGUGCCA